GUUAUACUCCCUCCGUCCGGAAAUACUUAUCAUCAAAAUGAAUAAAAAGAGAUAUAUCUAGACUUAUUUUAGUUUUAGAUACAUCUCUUUUUGUCCAUUUUGAUGACAAGUAUUUUCGGACGGAGGGAGAUGUG
rfam:Triticum aestivum genome assembly, contig: Triticum_aestivum_CS42_TGACv1_scaffold_160896_2DL